rnacentral:tRNA from 1 species
CAGGGAGACAACAAAAUGUUUAAUAUUAUUUUGUCACCUUAGGUCGAUCGGUAUCUCACGUUCUUAAUUUUAUUAAGAAUUUCAUUUCCUAAGUUUUUCUAGGUCACACCCAUCAUUUUCCUGGGCCAUUAGCUCAGGUGGUUAGAGCGCACCCCUGAUAAGGGUGAGGUCCCUGGUUCAAGUCCAGGAUGGCCCAUAUCUCUAUGUUGGGGGUAUAGCUCAGUUGGUAGAGCGCCUGCUUUGCAAGCAGGAUGUCAGCGGUUCGAGUCCGCUUACCUCCACUGAUUACCACCUCUACCAUAAUUUGUAGAAAGGAAAUGUUUUGAGUUGUGAUCUAAUUCUGAACGAAUCUAGCUUCCUAAUUAAAUCAUUAAGAUGCUGGACUCAUUGAAUUAAUUUUCAUUGUUUUCAGAGAACCUUGACAACUGCAUAGAUUAUUUUUAAAGACAAUAAGCAUCUUUAAUGAUGCAGAUUUAUUAUUUGUGCGAAUGCAUUAAUAACAAUUCUAUUAAGCUGAUGCUUCA